AGGAGUGUAGCUCAGGGCUACAGUGCUUGCUUUGCAUGCAUGAGGCCCUGGAUUUAAUCUCCAGCACAGCUG
rnacentral:tRNA from 1 species